rnacentral:lncRNA from 1 species
UCUGAUCGGAUUUUAGCGUCGGAAGGAUCUUUUCCGCAAAUCAAUCUAAAGACGAAGUUGAAAUACAUGUCAUCGGCAAUGUCGUUGAAGUUAGCUUUCCCCUUUCUGGAAACAUCGUCUUCUAUGGUGGAGAAGAGGUCCGGCAAGCCGCUACGGAAGACGGGAAUGAAGUCGCGAUGGCGAGAUGCGAGUAGAGAGAAGGAGAAGCGUUUGAGAAGAUCGUGUUUGGGUUCGGAGGGGUCGAGAUAUGGAAGGACGCGGUACCCGCCUGUUAAGUCGGUGGAGGGCAUGAAAGUCCCGACGAAGACGUUUCUCUUCUCGACUUUGGAGGAGUCGAAAAGAACGGGAAAGCUGACGGUGUCGAGAAGAACAACCACCUUGGAGUCGGAAGAGAUGAAGGGGCCUGGCGGCAUGUUGGCUCUGAAGACUGUGGAAUGAUAUUUCUGCAUCCGGGUUUUGAAGAACUCAUCCUGCCCUUGAUUGUAAAAGUAGUCGAAACGAUUCCUUAUGGGACCAAAGAAGGGUAAUCCAUAAUCUCCUGGAAUUUUCCGUAACGGAAGCUCUGGUCGAGAAGAGGAAGAAGAAGAAGACGAGGAUGACAUUGCGAAAAUCCGGAAGGGGUGGGGUACUGCAACAGCAAUGGAUUGAAGAAUGGUGAUAGAAGAAUGACAGAUCCAGAAGGUAUUAUUCGUAGGUGAAAGAUAUCAAAAUUGUUCUACAAAUAAAAAGGAAUGCAGACUUGGAACGACACGCAACCGUGCUCGCCACCGCUGUAGAUGUCUGCAAUUUAUUGAGCAGUUGAAGUAUUCAAAGGACACACACCAUUGAUAAGCAAAGCCAUGGCGUUGAAUGGCUUCAACACACUAAUAAAUUAUGAAGGAUGGUGCAAUUAUUCACCACCUUUUCUAUCAUACGCUUACACUAUGACUGUUGUUCGAACGUGAUCAGAUCAAAUUUUUUUAUCAUAUUUGUUGACCGCAUGAACGUGAUUGAAAUUUGAGUAAAUAUAAAUAAGUUAGAAUCAAAUUGGACUCAACCCUACAUAAUUCGUUUAAAAAUGGAUAGUUUUUCUACCAACCUAUAUAACACGACUCAAAUCUACUCCUUUAAUAAUCUGAUUGAUUAACCUAAUUAUAUUUUUAAAUUAUUUAAUUUAUUUUAAAUUUUCUUUUUAAAUAAACAUGUCAAUUGAGUCAUAAACAUGUAUAGUUCAAACAUUAACCAUAAAAAUAUAUUAUCAAAUAUGAAGAUUUAAUUAUUAAAUGGGUUAAAUAGGUUACAUACAAUAUAUUAACUGUUUAAUAAUUAUGAAGUAUUUGAAUUUAUAUUUUUCACAUUAUUAUUAUUUAUGUCAAAUUUGAAUUGGCUUAUAUAGUAGAAUACUUAGUCUUUAACAUGAUAUGAACAGAACCCACAAAUACGAAUUAUCACCCUUUAUAUUACCUAAAUUUAUUCGAAUUUGAAAAAAUAAUAAUAAUACAAACUCAUCAUUAAUUAGUUUAUUUUAAUCCUAAACUUAUUUUAUUAUUAACUACAUUGGUGGCAUGCUUGAAAAAACCCGCAAUAUUAUCAUCCCUAGUCAUAUAUACAAUUGAAUUAGUAGACCGAUAAGAUAUUAUCAUUUUCUGAUUUAGUCAAUUAAGCAAUCCACCGCCAUGAAGAGUCUUUGCCAAUGGGAAAUGAAGUAUUGAAAUGCAUGGCCCCACUGGUGUGAAGGUUGGCAAAGCAGCUUGCAGAUCUCCAUCAUAUUUAUAUUUGUAAUAACCUAACUUUUGCCUCUUAAAUUAGAUUGUCCAAACGGCAAGUCUCAAUAUAUUGAGUUAUAUAUUUCGAUUUUAAAUUCUAAAUUUCAAUCGUCCCUCUUUAGAAGAAAGAUCUCAAUCUCCCCUUUAUAUAUAUAUAUAUAUUUAGGGGGCAUUCAAACAUCCCUCUCAAGGUUCAAAUGUUGGAUCUUCUAAUGGCAGUUUUUUCAACCAAUUUUUUCAUAUCUUUUAACUAUAAUAAAGAUAAUAUAAUUUUUUUAUGAAAAAAAGGAAAUUGAUGUGGCUGCUACCAAUCAUAGAUGAUUUCAACAUGAAAGUAAUGAAUUUUUCAUCCUCUUAUUAAUUGAUUAAGAUUUAAGACCAAAUAAAGCGUAAAGAGGACAUUUUCUUUUCUUUUCUUUUCUUUUUGAAAGCAAUGUGCUUUGGGAUUUUAGAUAGAUUUUUGGUUUUUUAACUUAUUAUUUAUUUCUUAAAUUUUUUAUUGAAUAAAAAAAAUUAAAAUAUUUGACUUUUUCUAAAUGCUAAAAGUGAACUACCAUAAUUAUAGUGAACCUAUUAAUUUUUUUUACUUCUUAACAAUGUUUUCAGAACCGGACCAAUGAUCGAACCGGAAAAAUUAUCGGUUCACGGUUCACUGGUCGGAUAUAAAAUAAUAUUAUUGAUGUCAUAAAUAUAUAAUUUAUAUUUUAUUAAAAUUAAAAAUAAUUAUAAAAAUUUUAAAAUAUAUAUGAAUAAAUUAAACAUCAAUAAUAUUAUUUUAUAUCUUUGAUAUUAUCAAAUUAAAUCAUAUUAAUAUUUUAAAUUUUAUUAAAUGAAAUAUGUGUAAUAUUUAAAUGUGAAUAUAUAAAAAAAUGAAAAUUUAAAAUAAUUUCAUAAUUUUUAAAAAUAUUAUAUUAUUUUUAUUUAAUAUUAUAAAAAAAUUUAAAAUCUAAUAUGUGUUGUCUUGUUUGGCAUAUUAAAUAAUAAAAUCCAUGUAGCCGAGUGGUGUUCUAUGUGGACUUUAGUAUAGGGGUGGUCCAAGGUUCAAACCUUCUUGGAGUUUUGUUAUGUUUUUUUUCUUUGAUAUUUAGCAAUCCCACAUCGGCAAGAAAGAGGAACAAGGAGUCAAAUGACUCCUAUAAAAGCCAUCCUCAGCAAAGGCUUAAGAUAGGCUUGGGGGCUCAAAACUCAGCCCACAUAAAGUGGAAUGGGUAUGUGGGUUGUGGGCUGUGUCAUAAGACAGGCCCAACAUCCUUUAGUAAAAUCCAUUUUAAGUUCCAUGGAAUCCUUGGUAAUGUUUUCAUUUUCUAAUUUUUUUUUUAGAGAAAAAUUAAAAUCUUUUGAAUUGAUCGGUUUUUUUGGAACCGGCUGGUUCGUCCGGUUCACCGGUUGAACCAUCGGUUAGAACGGUUUUACCCCGGUUCGAUCUCAAUCCGGUCCAAAUGACCGGAUCAGAUCGGAAUGAUGAUCGGCCGAUGGUUGGACCGGUUCGACCGGCCGAUCCAGUCCGAUUUUUAAAACAUUACUUCUUAAUGCUUAAUAGAAAUACAAUAUUAAAAGAAACAUCAUCUUAUCUAAAAAUCAAUUGGUAUUCAAUAAAGGUAGGUCAAAUCUUUUAUAACAUUCGACAUCACAUUUUGUCGAUUCUAAGAACCAUCAUUUGAGUGACCCAUCUGUGGACAUAAGAGCUCUCCCCCAACAUGAUGCUUUCUUUACUUUUAGCUUUGAUAUUCAUUAUUAGAUCGAGAUUUAACCAUCUUAUUUGAAAAUCAAUUGGUAUUCAAUGAAAGUAAGUUAAACUUUUUAUUACAUUCAACAUCACAUUUCAUAGGCAUAUUCUAAGAAUCAUCAUUUAGGUGAUCAUCCUUGAGCUUAAGAGCAGUAUUAGUGCACCCUAACAAAGUAAAAAAAAAUGAAAAAAAAAAUAAACAUAGUUUAUCUGACACUGUGUGCUCUAGUUUUUCCAAUGUUUUAAAAAUCAGACCAGACCGGCCGAUCCGACCGGUCCAACCGUCGACCGGUCACCGUUCCGGUCUGAUCCGGUCAUUUGGACCGGAUUGAGAUCGACGGGGUUGAACCGCUCGAACCGACGGUUCAACUGGUGAACCGGACGAACCGAUCGAUUCAAAUGAUUUUAAUUUUUUUUUUUUAAAUUACAAAAUGAAAAUAUUACCCUCUCAUUGUAAGCAUGGAAAGAAGGAUUCCAUAAAAUUUAAAUGGUUUUUACUAAAGCACAUGUUGGGUCUGUCUUAUGACACCGUCCACAUACCCACUCCAAUUACUGUGGGCUGAGUUUUGAGCCCACAAAACCUAGGAGUCAUUUGACUCUUUGUGCCUCUCAUUUUCCGAUGUGGGAUUGCUAAAUAUCAACGAAAAAAAACAUAACAAAACUCCACCAAGAGAGUUUGAACCUUGGACUACUCCUGUACUAUAGUCCACCUAGGACACCACUCAGCUACAUGUAUUUUAUUAUCUAAUAUGCCAAACAAAACAAUAUAUAUUAGAUUUUUAAUUUUUUUUAUAAUAUUAAAUAAAAAUAAUAUAAUAUUUUUAAAAAUUAUGAAAUUAGUUUAAAUUUUCAUUUUUUUAUAUGUUCACAUUUAAAUAUUAUACAUAUUUCAUUUAAUAAAAUUUAAAAUAUUAAUAUGAUUUAAUUUGAUAAUAUCAAAGAUAUAAAAUAAUAUUAUUGAUGUUUAAUUUAUUCAUAUAUAUUUAAAAAAAAUUUAUAAUUAUUUUUAAUUUUAAUAAUAUAUAAAUUUUAUAUUUAUGACGUCACCGAUUUGAUAAUGGUUCGACCGUUGGUCUGACCAGUGAACCGUGAACCGGUAACUUUUCCGGUUCGAUCACCGGUCCGAUUAUGAAAACAUUGAGUUUUUCUAAUUCUACAACAAGUUCUGCUUCACUGCUCUCCUGUCCUGCUACUGGCACUAUAGUUCUUAUUGUUGACAACAUAGUUUCCACACCUUGCACACAUGUUGUUCAGCCUAUUAUUGCUACUAUGUCUCAACCUCUUCUCCACACUUCUACCAAUAUUAAUUCUAUGCAGACAAGGUCUAAAAGUGGCAUCUACAAACCUAAGGUUUACACAAUUGUUGUUGCUUUACUAGAUCACUUCCAAAAGCCCUCUAGUGUUCGACAAGCUUUACAAUUACCUCACUGGAAAACGAUAAUGGAGGUUGAAUAUUCUGCCCUUGUUCACAAUGGUACUUGGCGACUGGUUCCUAAAACUGAAAGAAUGCAUAUUGUCCUAAACAAAUGGAUCUUUAAAACCAAGUUGAAGGCUGAUGGUUCUUUGGAUAAAUUCAAAGCUAGAUGGGUUGCUAAGGGGUUUCAACAACAUGCUGGUGUAGAUUUCUCAGACACAUUCAGUCCAGUUGUCAAAGCCUCUAGUAUUCGGAUAAUUUUUACUCUUGUUAUCGCUUACAAUUGGGACAUACAGCAAAUCGAUAUCAAUAAUGCCUUUCUAAAUGGCAUUCUUCAUGAAGAUGUCUAUAUGUGUCAACCUGAAGCGUUUGUUAGUUCUACUCAUCCUACUCAUGUCUGCAAGUUGAUUAAGUCACUCUAUGGGCUUAAACAAGCUCCUCGAGCUUGGUUUGUUCAACUUCGCAGUGCUCUAGUCUCAUGGGGAUUUCGGCCUUCCAUUUCUGAUAAUUUCUUAUUUCACUCUCGGGAGAAUGGUCAUUUGGCUUUGGUAUUAGUAUAUGUUGAUGAUGUCCUAAUAAUUAGCGACAGUUCCACACUCAUUCAUUCUGUGAUUUAGGCUCUCACUUCUCGGUUUGCUUUGAAGACUCUUAGUUCUAUUAAUUACUUUCUUGGAUUUGAAGCAUUUAGAGAUAGUUCCGGUCUCUAUCUCAAUCAGGCCAAAUAUAUUUCUGAUUUACUUGUCAAGACAAACAUGGUUCAUGUUAAAUCAUCCUCUACACCAAUGGCUCUUGGUCAGAAACUUGCUCUUGAAGACAGUGCUCAUUUUCCUGAUGUCACCUUGUAUUGCAGCACCAUCAGUGCUCUCCAAUACUUAACUUUAACUCGGCCUGACAUAUCUUUCUCGGUUAAUAAGUUGAGCCAAUUUCUUAAGGCUCCUACACAACAUCAUUGGAGUGCUUGUAAAUGUCUCUUGCACUAUGUUAGUGGUACUCGAACUCUUGGUUUAUCUUUUCCACCUAUUACUCGAUUUACACUUGAAGGCUUCUUGGAUGCGGAUUGGGUGUGUAAUGUUGAUGACAGAAGAUCUACGACCUAUUAUUGUGAUUUUCUUGGUGGCAAUUUAGUAACUUGGAGUUCUUGUAAACAAUAGGUCAUUGCAAGGUCCAGUACUGAAUCCGAGUAUCGGACACUGGCUAGUGUUACUAUGGAAUUAAUUUGGAUAAAAUCUUUACUGGAUGAACUUCAACUUCCAUUACAGCAUCAUCCCAUAGCUUGGUAUGAUAACCUGGAUGUGCAUGCUCUUUCCUACAAUCCUGUUUAUCAUUCACGCACUAAACAUAUUGAGGUAGAUGUCUAUUUCAUUCGAGAAAAGAUUCUCCACCCUACUCUUGAAGUUCGUUAUAUACCCUCUCAAGAACAACCAGUAGACCUGUUUACUAAGUCUUUGUCUCUUUCUCAGUUUCAGUUUCUGUGUUCCAAGCUUUCAAUUUCCUAUCCUCUAUUCAGCUUGUGAUGGGAUGUCGAACAGCAAAACUAGUUGUACUAGAAACAAACUAGUUGUACUAGAAACAAACUAGUUGUACCAGUUUCUGUUAUUAGAUGGUUGUUAAGCUGAUUAGUUUGGUUGUUAGUUAUAUUGUUAUUGAGAAAAUAAAAGUUAUGCUUAAAGGAGAAAAACACCCAAGAGGGAAGGGGGGAGGGGGUAAAUUGGGUUUUUUUUUUUAAACUUUUUCAAUACAACAAAUUCAAGUAUAAUAUAAACAAGAAAUAAAGAGAUAGAGUUAGAGAAUUCAAACUCAGGUUUUAUAGUGGUUCGAUACUUCCUUGUCUACGUCCACUCUCUUCAAUCUCCUAAUCGAGUGAGGGUUCCACUAGCUUGAAGCUUCAACCAAGUCUCCGAUCUUUUACAUUUGGAUUCCGAUUCCAAUAAGCUCUUACACAAUCUCUUCAAGAUUCACAUCUCUUGAAGUCUUUAAUACUCAAAAUUUACAAGAAAGAAUCCCUCAACCUAGCUCAAAGAUAGCUCAAAUACAAAACAAAGUUAGGAUGACUCACAAUGGUGCACUAAAAGAUAUGCAAGUGAUGGUUUAAUGCACUAAGAAAGAAAUGAGAGUUUUUAAGCUAAGAACAGGUAGAUAGACAAUUGAUUGCAGGUGUUCUCUAUCUCAUAAAUGAAGUAGAGCUCUCAAUUUAUAGGUUUCUAAGCUCGGGAGCCAAAAAUAGCAAAAGGCAUCUUCGACCAGUCGAGUUGAGGGUCGAUCAGUUCACUAGCCCUUGGAGCAUUUAAUGUUUUGGUAGGUUAUUGUUGCCUCGAUCAGAGGUCGACCGGGAAGGGGUGAACCUCAACCGGGAAGAGGAAGCUACUGGAUGAGAGAGAGUGUUUUUGGCACUCCUUGAUCAAACCUCGAUCGGACAAAGGCAACCGAUCGACCGGUUCCCCAACCGGUUGAGCCGGUUGACCAGAGCCUCGACUAAUUCAGCCUUUUGGCCCCGAAAACCUAUCCUUUUCAAUUCCUUUCUUUUCUAACACUUAGGCAAGGUCUUUAGGUAAAUUAGUAUGUCAAUUUUAAAACGUUUUUCCUAAGGUACAUUUAAUAAAACUCGGGUUUUAAUGAAAUCGAAAUUUUAAAGAAUAAACCGAGUUUUCAAAGAUGCAUGAAAAGAUAUGAAAAACCUAAGUGCACCCAUGCAUUCAUCUUACAUUCGUUUCCUAUGAUCAAAAGUCUUCCAAUAGUCUCAAUCUUGUAUCCCUUGGUCCUUUGAUAAAUUUUCGAAUUUAUACCUGAGAUUCUUUAUCAUUCAAACCAAUUAGUCACUUAACCAUGAUUUGUUAUCAUUAAAAUCCGAUUGGGAGAACCCUUGAGCUAACAGUUAUCCUUUGUAUAUUAUAUAUAUACCAUUCAUAAUGAAGAGAAAUACAUCUCUUCAGCUCAAAUAUACAAAGUUGUUAUUCUGUUAAGUCACAUGGACAAUAAAUAUAAAUAUUAAGAACAUUUAGGAAAAUGAUAAUCGAAAAUUAGUGCACUUACCGUUAUUACUAUUUUUUAAAAAGAAUAGAAAACGAGAAGUGUAUCAAAACAAAAACCAUAUCCAAAUGGACACUAAGUUUCUUUGUUAUUUGUUCUCAAUAAAGGUUUUCUGUUUUCUAGAACAAUAUAUAUAUAUAUAUAUAUAUAUAUAUAUAUAUAUAUAUAUAUAUAUAUAUAUAUGUAUUCGAUAAUCAAACAUUAUAAAAUAUGGUAUUUUCUAAUAAUAUAUUUUAGUUGUUUUUAUUUGUAUUUUAGAGUUAUUUUGAAAAAUAAUUAUACAAAUGUGGAGAAUGAUUAAAAUAAAAUAUUACAAAUAAGUUCUAUUUUUAAAAAUAUUUAAAAGUCUUUUAAAAAAUAAAUUAAAAACAAUUUAAGCUUUCAAACAAACUUUUAUUGCAUAAAAUAUUAGAGUAUAAUUUUCAAAAACAAUUCUUGAAAACUAUUUUUAAAAAGAAUUUCCAAAUAAAACUUUAAAUAUCUAUUUUUUUUAUUGCGUUAAUUUUGAGUUCACAUUCUUUUUUUCUUUUUCUUUUUUUUGUAUGUUACCUUAUUAUUUUAAUUAUAUGAGCAUGACUUUUUUAUCUUCCAUUUUUGGCAUUAAAUAUUCUACGAUAAAAAGACUCAUGUAGUAGUAAAAAAGAUACAUAGUAAAUUCAUGUUUCAUCCCAAAGAAAUGUUACAUUGAUUCGAAUCCAAAAAAUAAUUAAAAAAAAACACACACACACGUUAUCUUGUAAAACAUACAAAGCACACCGGACCAUACUUACACUUUAGAUCAAUGUAUUUGAACUGGAAGGAAUAUUAUGUUGACCAUGAUCAAGUGUAACUGGACUUGGUCAACGACUUGAAAAGCACAGCGGAUCCUAACACCAUGGUCCCAGACUCAACUUCGAAAGUAUCGUAACGAAGGAAAAUCUCCACCAGCAUUAACUUGGAGAUCAGCACCACCAGAUCCUUCCCUGAGCACUGUUUAUUCUCCGCCGUCGGAUUAUCCGUCUCUCGUCCAUUAGACCAGUACACGUACUUAAGCAAUUUCUCCCCCUCACCCAUAAACCGAUGGGCCACAAAAUCCUCAGGGUUCUCGAAAACCUUAGGAUCCUUAGUGGCAAAGGGUUGAUAUCCAAAGAUCAUCUCCCCUUUCUUGAUCUCAAACGCGGCAUCAUGGCUGUGGAUCACCAUAUCCUCCCUGGCCUUCCCAUACUGGAACGGAACCGGAGGCCCAAUCCUCAGAGCCUCAUAAACCACUGAUUUAGUCAAAGCCAUCUUAUCCAACGCUGCAAAUGUCACUCCUCCCUCAGCCUUAACAACGGUCCUUAUUUCAUCAGCGAGUUCGCGGUGUAGCUUCUCUCCUGCUAACCCAACCCACUUGAUCAAAGGGGGAAACAAAACCUUCAUGCCACCGAACGUACUGAAACCAGCUAGGAAUACAAGGUUGUGGCAAGCUUCAUCUCUAUUAAUCCCCAUUCUCUCACCUUCAUCCAAUACUGAAGAGGCCGAUUCGUAAAAGGCCUUAUAAAGCUUAUUAUAAUCGGACUUUACCAAGAAUGGUGGUAAGGGAAAUGUGUGUAGAAGCAAAUCUUCUAUGAAGUUUGGUAACAUGGACAACCCAAGAGUCAUGAGAGGAGAAAGUUGGAGGAACAGCCAUUUUGAGAAAAUAUUGGGUCCUUCUGAUCGGAUUUUAGCGUCGGAAGGAUCUUUUCCGCAAAUCAAUCUAAAGACGAAGUUGAAAUACAUGCCGUCGGCGAUGUUGUUGAAGUUAGCUUUCCCCUUGCUGGAAACAUCGUCUUCUAUGGUGGUGAAGAGGUCCGGCAAGCCGCUACGGAAGACGGGAAUGAAGUCGCGAUGGCGAGAUGCGAGUAGAGAGAAGG